rnacentral:rRNA from 1 species
GACGAACGCUGGCGGCGUGCCUAAUACAUGCAAGUAGAACGCUGAAGCUUGGUGCUUGCACCGAGCGGAUGAGUUGCGAACGGGUGAGUAACGCGUAGGUAACCUGCCUGGUAGCGGGGGAUAACUAUUGGAAACGAUAGCUAAUACCGCAUAAGAGUAGAUGUUGCAUGACAUUUGCUUAAAAGGUGCAAUUGCAUCACUACCAGAUGGACCUGCGUUGUAUUAGCUAGUUGGUGAGGUAACGGCUCACCAAGGCAACGAUACAUAGCCGACCUGAGAGGGUGAUCGGCCACACUGGGACUGAGACACGGCCCAGACUCCUACGGGAGGCAGCAGUAGGGAAUCUUCGGCAAUGGACGGAAGUCUGACCGAGCAACGCCGCGUGAGUGAAGAAGGUUUUCGGAUCGUAAAGCUCAGUUGUAAGAGAAGAACGAGUGUGAGAGUGGAAAGUUCACACUGUGACGGUAUCUUACCAGAAAGGGACGGCUAACUACGUG